CUGAUAUUUUCGUGUUUAAUUGUCUCCCCGUCUGGCCCACAUAGGAAGCAUCGCAGUCAUUGUACAAUAUUUUAUACACGAUGUUCUUUUUAGAGGAGAAAAUCUUUAUGGACUUUGAUAAAAGUGCCGAUUUGUUGAGAUUGUAAAAUACCAAUCCAAAGUCAAUAUUAUUUGUGAUGUCCCUGAAUUUGUUAGAAACUGAAUCAAUAAAGGGGAUCGAAAACCAAUUUUUUGUUUGUUCAGAUUCAGAAUCAUUAAUGAAAUUAUCCUGUUGGGUAUUUCGAUUAUGGAUCAGACUUUUUAAUCUUGUUUUUAUAGUUUUAAAAAUAAAAUCUAACAAAUAGUCAUUACUCAAAAAAAUGUUCACUACUGACUCGAGGUUUUUUUGGUGAAAUUCAGGAUGCGACAAAAAGAAGGUUCUAUCAACCAUGCCCAUGAUAACACCACUCUUUUGUAAGAGCGGAUGCUGAAUGGAUUGAACUGUAUUAUGUCCGAAUCUGUAAAAGUAGCAGUAAGAUGUCGACCUAUAUCUCAAAAGGAAUUGCAGCAAGGAUGUCAGAAUGUGGUGACGAUCGAUCCGCUGACAAAAUCCUGCACGCUGGAAAAUGUCGCCAAUGGUACUGGAAAAGUCUAUCAAUUUGACGCUGCGUUCGGUCCAUCUGCUACAACAGAAUCAGUCUACGAAAAUGUAGGUUCCGUCAUCGUCGAGGCCGUCUUAGAAGGUUACAAUGGUACUGUGUUUGCUUAUGGUCAAACUGGAUGCGGAAAAUCAUUCACAAUGCGAGGAUUUGUCGAACGUACAUUGGAACACUUAUUUGAGGCUACUUCUACCGCCAGUUCAGAAACAAGAUAUUUAGCAUUGCUGAGUUAUCUCGAAAUCUAUAAUGAACGAUUACGAGACUUGUUACGAGACGACACUGGGGAAUCCCUGACAUUAAAAGAGGAUCCGACGAAAGGUACUUACGUCGCAGGUGGACUGCGCGAGGUCACUGUCAAAGACGCAACCGAAUGUGCAGCACUAGUUCAACAGGGCGAUCAAAGAAGAGUAGCAGCCGCUACGAAAAUGAACGCUGCCAGUUCGAGAAGUCAUGCUGUCUUAACUUUGUCACUCGAAGCAAUUGCAAUCAACGACGAUGAUAAACGUGGCAAUGCUAUUAGGAGAGGUCGAUUGCAUUUAGUUGAUCUAGCUGGAUCUGAAAGACAAACCAGAACUGGAGCUACAGGAGAUCGCUUAAAAGAAGCUGCUAGUAUCAAUCUGAGUUUAUCGGCAUUGGGGAAUGUUAUUAGUGCAUUAGCUGCCGGAAAUGGAAGACAUGUUCCUUAUAGGGAUAGUAAACUUACAAGACUGCUACGAGAUAGCUUGGGUGGAAAUGCUAGGACUUUGAUGAUAGCCUGCGUGAGCCCAAGCGACAUUGAUGCUGAAGAGACGCUCAGCACUUUGCGUUAUGCUGCUCGAGCUCGUUGCAUUAAAAAUAAACCCAUUGUCAAUGAAGAUCCCAAAGAUGCUCUUCUUAGGCAAUACCAAUUAGAACUUCAACGUUUAAAAAAAUUGCUCGACUCUAGCGACGUAUUAAAUGUUGAAUUGGACUUCCAGAAGAAUGUAGAGGAAGACAAGAAGAAUUUAAGAGAGAAACAAUAUUCUGACGAGGUGGAAAGGCUAAGGAAAGAAUGCGAAAAUUCAAAUUUGUCAGCUCAGAAACUAAAAGAGGAGCUAGAAGCCCUAAAAUUUCGUUACGAAUCAGGAUUAAAUGUGAUGAACAAUACUAAUAAAAAUCUUAAUCAAGAAAAUCAGAUUAAUGAGUUGGAUAAGGAACGAAUAGAGAAAAGAAGAAAAAAACGAGAUGCAGCUCUACAAGAUGUUUUAAAAAGAUUAGAAAAACUGACAAUCGGUGGAGAAGAAAUUGGUAAUACAGAAUUGAAAAAAAGAAGAGAGAAGAGAAGGAGGAAACUGGAAGCUCUUGUAGGAGCAUUGGGAGACAAUGAUGCUAAUGGUAGUGUUUUCCAAGUAUACGGUCAACUAAGGUCGACAGAAGAUGCAUUAAAGAAAAUGGCGAAACGAGUAAAACAAUUGGAAGCUGAGGCAGUGGAUCUCCAGGCAUCUUGGGAUGCCGAACGUCGCGAGCUUCUUCGAAGAGAAUUAUUAACGUCCCAAUUGUGCGACCUCAUGAUUCCUUAUCUUCGACCUGGCUGUCCUUUUCGAGAUAUUACUGCGGUGAGGGAAGCGGCGACCUGGUGCGAUGAAUUAGGACGAUGGCGCUUGCCGGAUGUGUCCCCUCACAUACCUCUUCCUCCUGCCGCUUCUGCGGCGCGGGUAGAUAUUCUUUACCCCACCAGUAUUUCCUCCAAAGCGGAUCAUAAUAACAAUAGCAAUAAUAGUAGCAAUGAUGAGAAUGAGAGUGAUCAAGACAACGACGAAGAAGAUAGCAAACAAAGUAUAGAGAGAAAAAAGGGUUGGAAUAUUGUGAACUCUUAUUUCCAGAGAAGCAGAAGAGUGGAUACUCUUCUGGCACACGCAAGAGAAGCAAAGACUUUCGAGCCAAAUCGAUUGAGCAGAUCAGGAGGCUCGGAAGACUUGGGACCGAUUGCAAGUGGCAGUGGCUAUUUGCAGUUAAACGCGCUAAAUCUGCAAAGUAGCGCGCCGAUGCUUGGUGAAAGUAGUUACAGUACGAAUCAGUGCAGAUCGACAAUGCGCGCUGGCUGGGUUUAUGAUGAGCAACUUAAACGGCCUAUGUAUAAUUCUUUCAUUACUGUAAAGAAACCACCUCCAAGAAUAUUAGAAGCCUUACCCUCGCAUGAUGGUAGACUAUUCGAGUCGCCUGUUCAUCUCAAAGAGAUGGAGUUGAAAGAUUUCUUUAGGGUUACUGGACAUUAGGGUUACUGGAAAGGCGCGUUUAAUUCUCUGAUGCGAUCUACGCCCGAAAUGUUGAAUGUCACCUUUAGCAGUUCGUCAAUGGAUAUCAAAGGAAAAAUGCAUUACGCAUUCCACUAAUUUCCGGGAAAGGAUCGGUGAUUAUGUGGGACUAGGUGUGAACUUUAAUAUCUCCCCCGCUAACCACCAAGAAGCCCCUUUUUUUUAAAUGAGGAGUAAAAAUACCAAAUACCAUUUAUGGACAGCCUUGGGAACCUGUUAGAACUCAGGGAUGAUGCAGGACUCAGGAGAAACCCCAGUAAAAAAUUUUUUCGGUAGACUCUAAACUCUAGAGAGAGGUCGCCCCAAGACCGCUGGUGAACAUUAUUUCAGGGCAACCCCCUGAAUCCGGAUCUAACGACAGCAAAGAGGAAAAAGGCACUGCCGCUCUGCCCCUCCCCCUGCACUCCCUCACUCAUUUUUUCUAACCUAAUCUACCCCGUCUCAGUGAAUCCACUAAUAACGUGGUGAAUGCGGGAAAGGGUGGGCCAUAAUUGUUAGAUUGAACGAACUUACCUGUGAAGUUCGAUCCUAAUUAUGCCCGUUGUCUCGUCCGGAUGAAAAUUAAUAACUGUGUAGUCGUGCCCCUACACCGGACAACAGCAUUCAAAAAACACUUUGAAAACAAAAUGGGUAGCGCGCCUAGUACGGCCUAGGCGCUGCGCGCGCCUUGCCAUCUCAUGAGUUCAAAUAAUGAGGCAAAUCACUAGAUCUAGGGAAGGGAGAUUCAAGGGUGGGGAGUCCAUCCGGACGAGACGGGCAUAAUUAGGAUCGACUUUCACAGGUAAGUUCGUUCAAUCUAACAAUUAUGCCCUUAUGUCUCGUCCGGAUGAAAAUUAAUAACUGUGUAGUUGUUUAAAGCGGUGAUUUGCCUUAGAAAGAAUUUGUCUCUGACGCCGGAAUUAAAACUGGUGAAGAAACUAGCUGUAUUUUUAAAAUUUUCUAAACUUAUAUAAAACAUAAAAAGAUGUUACAAGUUGGAAUGUAAAAUCAAAUAUUGAAAACAAUAGUGAUAUAUAUAUAUAUAUACAUAUAUAUAUAUAUAUAUAUAUAUAUAUAUAUAUAUAUAUAUAUAUAUAAAAUCGCAUGUAGAUGGUCGUAAUUUUUUUGUUCUCUCCAUAUAGCAUUUCAUGAGCCGAACUAUGCAGAGAUCUUCAUGAUCAUUGAACCGAGAGAAAGAGAAAAGUGGCUGACAGCGACCUGGAGCCGAUGUCUUAAUCCGGUCUGGGAUCCGGAUAAUUAACUUUUCCUUCACCGAAAUUUGUGAUAUCCUUAGGGAAGCAAGCGUUUGAGCUCUGUGGCCCGUUGCAAGAGCUAGAAGAAGAACCAACUUCUUGGAGAUGACCUUUAGAGAAGCUGAAUCAUAUGGAUAGAUGGCUGCCAACUUAGAUAUUACUGGUGCCGGGUCCAAUACAUAGUCAUACCGCGGUCGCGGUGGUUUCAGUGCUGCAAUCUCUUUGUAGAAGCGUCUAAUCAUAGGAUAAUUGCCAAUCUCGUUGUUAGAGAUCAAUGAAACUGCAGAUCUCAUGGUAUUUAAGCUCGAAUAGGACGAAACCCUAGGCAAUUCCUGUGCUAAAAAAUCCAACAUUUGUGGGACGGAUGGAAAGUAUAAAGGUAGCUGGUGAUGCUGGCAAAAGUUCCACCAAGAGCGUAGAGAACCCGAGUAUUGCUUAAUUGUCGCAUUUGAUAGAGAAGCAAGUAGAGCUGGAAGAGCUGUUGGGGGUGCUAAACGAUUCUUGAAUGCUUCCCGGAUAACUUCCCGACCCCCAGGGAAAGUGUUUCCGACGCUGUAUAGUGAUCCCUGAAAGGAGAUGAGGGAAGAGCGUGAUUAGGAGCAAGAAUCAAGGAGCUCUGAUAUCAGGAGACGAUUGAACAGCGGGAACCAGGCCUGCGAAGGCCACCAGGGCACUACUAUGGUGCCCGUUGCUCCAUCGUCUACUAUCUUCCUUAAGACUCGAGGCAGCAGAAUAAACGGAGAAAACGCAUAAAAAUCUAACUCCUCCCAUGAGAGGGUGAAAGAAUCUAUGGCGAUUGAACCGAGAUCUGGAAACCAAGAUACGUAAGCAUCGCACUUGUUAUUGAUCGAAGAUGCAAAAAGGUCUAUUUGAAAAGGCCCGAAGAUCUUAAAAAUGCGGCUAAAUGCCGUCUCGGACAAAGACCACUCCGUGUUCGGGUCUACGGUUCGAGAUUCAGCGUCUGCGAUAAUAUUAUCUAAAGACGCUAUGUAGGAGGCGAAAAUAAAGAUAUUUCGCUCUUCACACAAGCCAUAUUUGUCUUGAUAUAGCUGAAAGGUGGGGAAAUUGGAUGGAUCCGAACCUAUUAAUAUAGGCUAUUAAUAAGCCGGUUGUAUUGUCUAUCCUCAGGAGGAUAUCACAAUCACGGAGAUCAGCUGCAAAGCAUCGUAAGCCGUUAAAAGCUGCCUUGAGCUCUAAAGUGUUGAUAUGUAGGAAUUUAUCCGAGUCGGACCACCAUCCAUGCGUACGUUUCGCACCACAGGAUGCGCCCCAACUACUCAUUGAGGCGUCUGAAAAGAUCUCGCGACUGAAAUUGCCUGAACGAAUUUUAUUAGACUGGUGUACGUUAGAAAAAAUAUUAAUCCAAAGUCUUCCUGAAGAAGUAGAGGAAUAUCAAUGCUCGCUGAAUAGUCGCCUCCACUCUCUAUAAGGGCCAAAAAUUUUACUCUUUCCAUCGCUUUUGUAUACAGAAGACCGUAUUGAACUGCUGGACAGACCGAGAUGAGUGAACCAAUUAAACUGGCGAACUCUCUUAUAGAACAUCUUGAUUUGCGAGCCAGGAUUUUUGUCAGGCUUAAUAAUUUUGCUUGAUGGUCUGGUGGAAUCGAGAUAGAUUGUUCGUUAGGGUAAAAUAUAAAUCCUAAGUACUUGCGUUUAGAAAAUGGUUCUAGGAAAGUUUUAGAGAAAUUAAUUACAAAUCCUAAAGAUUGAAGGAAAUUUAUAGAAAAGAUAACAUUAGACCGACAUUUGACACUGGAUGAACCUAAAAGAAGAAAA